UACGUAGGGUGCGAGCGUUAAUCGGAAUUACUGGGCGUAAAGCGUGCGCAGGCGGUGAUGUAAGACAGGUGUGAAAUCCCCGGGCUUAACCUGGGAACUGCAUUUGUGACUGCAUCGCUGGAGUGCGGCAGAGGGGGAUGGAAUUCCGCGUGUAGCAGUGAAAUGCGUAGAUAUUGUGAGGAACACUAGUGGCGAAGGCGAGACUCUGGACAGUUCCUGACGCUGAGGCACGAAAGCAUGGGGAGCAAAAGGG
rnacentral:rRNA from 1 species